UACGGAGGGGGCUAGUGUUGUUCGGAAUUAUUGGGCGUAAAGGGCGCGUAGGCGGUCGGUUAAGUCAGCUGUGAAAGCCCGGGGCUCAACUCCGGAAUUGCCUUUAAGACUGCAUCGCUUGAAUCAUGGAGAGGUGAGUGGAAUUCCGAGUGUAGAGGUGAAAUUCGUAGAUAUUCGGAAGAACACCAGUGGCGAAGGCGACUCACUGGACAUGUAUUGACGCUGAGGUACGAAAGCGUGGGGAGCAAACAGG
rnacentral:rRNA from 1 species